rnacentral:rRNA from 1 species
UAGCUCACUGGUCGAGAGUGCCUGCGCCGAAGAUGUAACGGGGCUAAGACAUAAACCGAAGCUGCGGAAGGUACCUUGUAUCUUGGUAGGAGAGCGUUCUGUAGGCCGUCGAAGGGAUGCCGCAAGGCCAUCCUGGAGGUAUCAGAAGCGAGAAUGCAGGAAUGAGUAGCGAGAAGGCGGGCGAGAAUCCCGCCGGCCGGAAGUCCAAGGUUUCCAGGGGAAGGCUUGUCCGCCCUGGGGAAGUCGGGACCUAAGCAUAAGCAAAAUUGUGACGGCGAAUGGAAAACAGGUUAAUAUUCCUGUACCGCUGUUAUCGCUUGAGAGACGGAGUGACGCAGGAAGGUAUGUGAGAAGGCUGACGGUUUAGCCUUUCUAAGGGCCCAGCGUGGGCGCGCAGGAAAAUCCGCGCGCCUAGACGUGAGACCUGACGGGGAAGUGCAUUUGCAUAAGUCGCAGAUCCUACACUGCCAGGAAAAACUUCUAUCGAUGAGAAGCAGCGCCCGUACUGUAAACCGACACAGGUGGACAGAGUGAGAAACUUAAGGCCGACAGGAUAACUCUAGCUAAGGAACUCUGCAAAAUAGCCCCGUAACUUCGGGAGAAGGGGUGCCUGACAUACCUGAAGAGAGAGACGCUCCCAGGGGAAACAGGCCGCAGUGAAGAGUCUCAAGCAACUGUUUACCAAAAACACAGGUCUAUGCUAAGCUGAAAGGCGACGUAUAUGGGCUGACACCUGCCCAGUGCCGGAAGGUUAAGAGGAGGGGUGAGAGCUCCGAUUUGAAGCCCCGGUGAACGGCGGCCGUAACUAUAACGGUCCUAAGGUAGCGAAAUUCCUUGUCGGGUAAGUUCCGACCUGCACGAAUGGUGAAAUGAUUUGAGAGCUGUCUUGGCUGGAGACCUGGUGAAGUUGUAAUGCCGGUGAAGAUACCGGCUACCUGCAGUAGGACGGAAAGACCCCGUGGAGCUUUACUGCAGCCUGGCAUUGGGUUCUGGCAGUGUGUGUAUAGGAUAGUUGGGAGACUGUGAUGCAGUGGCGUCAGCCAUUGCGGAGUCGCUGUUGGAAUACCAACCAUAUGCUGCCGGAAUUCUAAUCUGGCAACGGAGACAGUGCUAGGCGGGCAGUUUGACUGGGGCGGUCGCCUCCCAAAGAGUAACGGAGGCGCUCAAAGGUUCCCUCAGGCUGGAUGGAAAUCAGCCUGAGAGUGCAAACGCAUAAGGGAGCUUGACUGCAAGACUGACGGGUCGAGCAGGUACGAAAGUAGGAGUUAGUGAUCCGGCGGUUCCGCAUGGAAGGACCGUCGCUCAACGGAUAAAAGCUACCCCGGGGAUAACAGGCUGAUACUUCCCAAGAGUCCAUAUCGACGGAAGUGUUUGGCACCUCGAUGUCGGCUCGUCUCAUCCUGGGGCUGGAGAAGGUCCCAAGGGUUGGGCUGUUCGCCCAUUAAAGAGGCACGCGAGCUGGGUUCAGAACGUCGUGAGACAGUUCGGUCCCUAUCCACUGCAGGCGCCUGAAUACUGAAAAGAUCUGACCUUAGUACGAGAGGACCGGGUUGGACAGACCUCUGAUGCAUCAGCUGUCACGCCAGUGGCACGGCUGAGUAGUCACGUCUGGCACGGAUAACCGCUGAAAGCAUCUAAGCGGGAAGCCAGCUUUGAGAUGAGUAUUCGCAGUAUCCAUAGAGAACAUAUGGUUGAUAGGCUGGGGGUGCAAGUGCAGCAAUGCAUUCAGCUGACCAGUACUAAUAUUACGUCUGCUUUUA